rnacentral:rRNA from 1 species
AAAUUAAAUAUAAGAAGUCUGACCUGCCCAGUGAAAUUUUUUUUAACGGCCGCGGUACUCUGACCGUGCAAAGGUAGCAUAAUCACUUGCCUUAUAAUUAAAGGCUCGUAUGAAUGGUUUAACAAGAAUAAGACUGUCUCUUUUUAAAUUUAUAGAAUUUAAUUUUUAGGUGAAGAAGCCUAAAUAAAAUUGAAAGACAAGAAGACCCUAUCGAGCUUAAAACUUCUUUGUUAAAUAAUAAUAAAAUUAAAAUUUAACAAAAAUUUUUAGUUGGGGCGACUAAGGAACAAUAAAGCUUCCUUUAAAUUUACUUUAAAUAUAUAAGUUUUGAUCCAAAAUUUUUGAUUAAAAAAUCUAGUUACCGUAGGGAUAACAGCAUAAUUUUUCUUGAGAGUUCAUAUCGAAAGAAAAGUUUGUGACCUCGAUGUUGGACUAGGAUAUCCUGAAAGAUGUAGAAGUCUUCAAUGGUUGGUCUGUUCGACCA